GACGAACGCUGGCGGCGUGCUUAACACAUGCAAGUCGAACGGAAAGGCCCUGCUUUUGUGGGGUGCUCGAGUGGCGAACGGGUGAGUAACACGUGAGUAACCUGCCCCUGACUUUGGGAUAACUUCAGGAAACUGGGGCUAAUACCGGAUAGGAGCUCCUGCUGCAUGGUGGGGGUUGGAUAGUUUCGGCGGUUGGGGAUGGACUCGCGGGUUAUCAGCUUGUUGGUGGGGUAGUGGCUUACCAAGGCUUUGACGGGUAGCCGGCCUGAGCGGGUGACCGGCCACAUCGGGACUGAGAUACGGCCCAGACUCGUACGGUAGGCAGCAGUGGGGAAUAUUGUACAAUGGGCGGAAGCCUGAUGCAGCAACGCCGCGUGCGGUAUGACGUCCUGCGGGUUGUAAACCGCUGUCGCCUGUGACGAAGCGUGAGUGACGGUAAUGGGUAAAGAAGCACCGGCUAACUACGUG
rnacentral:rRNA from 1 species